rnacentral:rRNA from 1 species
GAAAUGCGAUAAGUAAUGUGAAUUGCAGAAUUCAGUGAAUCAUCGAAUCUUUGAACGCAUCUUGCGCUCCCUCAAGGAGCAUGCCUGUUUGAGUGUCACUAAAUAUCUCAAAAUGCCUUACUUUUUCUUGUAAAGUGUUUUGGAUUUGGGAGUGAUUGCUGGCUUGUCAGCUCUCCUUAAAAGCAUUUUGGCUGUUCUCUGUUAACUGGUAAUGAUAAUUAUCUAUGCCUGUUAAAAGGGAAGGUGUUAAGCCUCUAAUGGUCCUGUGAUCAGGACAGUACAUUCAAUGUUGACCUCAAAUCAGGUAGGAUUACCCGCUGAACUUAA